GACAGAGGGGGCAAGCGUUGUCCGGAGUUACUGGGCGUAAAGGGCGCGGAGGCGGUCUGCGGCGUCGGCGCUGAAAGCGCCCGGCUUAACGGGGCGAGGCGUGCCGAUAAGCGCAGACUUGAGGCGAGCAGAGGGUGGUGGAAUUCCGGGUGGAACGGUGAAAUGCGUAGAGAUCCGGAGGAACGCCGGUGGGGAAGCCGGCCACCUGGGCUCGUCCUGACGCUGCGGCGCGACAGCGUGGGGAGCAAACCGG
rnacentral:rRNA from 1 species